rnacentral:rRNA from 1 species
CGCAUGAGAGAAGAUGGAAAGACGCUUUACGCUGUCACUUAUAGAUGGGCCCGCGGCGCAUUAGCUAGUUGGUGAGGUAAUGGCUCACCAAGGCGACGAUGCGUAGCCGACCUGAGAGGGUGAUCGGCCACACUGGGACUGAGACACGGCCCAGACUCCUACGGGAGGCAGCAGUAGGGAAUCUUCCGCAAUGGACGAAAGUCUGACGGAGCAACGCCGCGUGAACGAAGAAGGCCUUCGGGUCGUAAAGUUCUGUUGUUAGGGAAGAACAAGUACCAGAGUAACUGCUGGUACCUUGACGGUACCUAACCAGAAAGC